rnacentral:rRNA from 1 species
UAGGGAAUUUUCCACAAUGGGCGAAAGCCUGAUGGAGCAACGCCGCGUGAACGAGGAAGGCCUUCGGGUUGUAAAGUUCUGUUGUCAGGGACGAAUAAGUACCGUUCGAACAGGGCGGUACCUUGACGGUACCUGACGAGGAAGCCACGGCUAACUACGUGCCAGCAGCCGCGGUAAUACGUAGGUGGCAAGCGUUGUCCGGAAUUAUUGGGCGUAAAGCGCGCGCAGGCGGCCGGGUAAGUCUGAUGUGAAAGCCCGGGGCUCAACCCCGGUGUGCAUUGGAAACUGUCCGGCUUGAGUGCAGGAGAGGAAAGCGGUAUUCCACGUGUAGCGGUGAAAUGCGUAGAGAUGUGGAGGAACACCAGUGGCGAAGGCGGCUUUCUGGCCUGUAACUGACGCUGAGGCGCGAAAGCGUGGGGAGCAAACAGG